rnacentral:rRNA from 1 species
GUGGGGAAUAUUGGGCAAUGGGCGAAAGCCUGACCCAGCAACGCCGCGUGAAGGAAGAAGGUUUUCGGAUCGUAAACUUCUAUCCUUGGUGAAGAUAAUGACGGUAGCCGAGAAGGAAGCCCCGGCUAACUACGUGCCAGCAGCCGCGGUAAUACGUAGGGGGCAAGCGUUGUCCGGAAUGAUUGGGCGUAAAGGGCGCGUAGGCGGCCUGGUAAGUCUGGAGUGAAAGUCCUGCUUUUAAGGUGGGAAUUGCUUUGGAUACUGUCGGGCUUGAGUGCAGGAGAGGUAAGUGGAAUUCCCGGUGUAGCGGUGAAAUGCGUAGAGAUCGGGAGGAACACCAGUGGCGAAGGCGACUUACUGGACUGUAACUGACGCUGAGGCGCGAAAGUGUGGGGAGCAAACAGGAUUAGAAAACCGAGUAGUCC